UCUCAUUCUCUCAAAUUUUGCUAAAAUCUUAUAGUUAGGCAAAGACAAGUAUUUCCCGUUUCGUUUGUCUAAUUGGCACUAGUAAAAUAUUCAUGAUUUAACACGAAGACGAGAGCUUGAA
ensembl:ncRNA C18D1.16 ncRNA